AAGUGCUGGAGAUCUCACUCUUCAUCAUGAAUCACACACAGACACCCCGAGAUCAAGAGCUUUCUCCAGGAUGCAGUUCAGUUCAACAGAAGAAAUCAGAAGCAGAGCCCAGCUGUGUGUCUAUGAGGAGUGACGAAUCUUUGGGUCAUCCAGUUGAUUUUAAGAGUGAUGAAACAAGGUCAAUCCUGCAACACAGAUCCGUAACAACACCUAUGUGUAAGAAGUAUGACCAGUCUAUGAAUCAACCACAAGACAGC